UAUAUUUUAUCCCUAGUGGGGUUUAUUUUGAUUUGGUUUGUUGUUUUUUUUUUUUUUUUUCAGGGAAUCAGAGACUGCUUUGGGUGGAAGGGACCUUUGAGAUCAUCUUGUCCCAACCCCCUGCCAUGGGCAGGGACACCUUCCACUAUCCCAGGUUGCUCAGAGCUCCCCCCCAACCUGACCUGGAACACUUCCAUGGAUGGGAAGGAAUUUUCUUUCAUCCUUCUUCCUUUAGGAGCACAUGGCCUUGCCUAAACUCUGUUCAGAUGAGCUCCAGGUUGAAUAAAAGUCCGUUCACCACCACAGGGCUGCUGGGAAGAUCCCAGGGAGAAGGAGCCAGCAGCCAAACAGGAGUCAGGAUUGUGAAUCAUCACUCCUGAGAUCUCAUUAAUCACCGCUGGAUAAUGCAGCAGGCAGGAAUUCAUCUGGCAAUAUCCUAAACUGAGGGAAAUCUUCCCUCCUUGUGUGUGUUCCUGGAAACAUUUCCCUUUUGGAUGAAUAAGAGCUGCAAAAUGAAAAAGAACUGAAACAAAGCCCUUCGUGUAAAAUCCCCUAAAUCAUCCCUGGGGGACAAAUAGUUCUCUGUCAAUGACUUGACCAGAAUUGGUUUUCCUAAGGAAAUAUUUUGGAAGUGUGUUCCUGGGAACCUGGGU
rnacentral:lncRNA from 1 species